GAUGAACGCUAGCUACAGGCUUAACACAUGCAAGUCGAGGGGCAGCGGGAUUGAAGCUUGCUUCAAUUGCCGGCGACCGGCGCACGGGUGAGUAACGCGUAUCCAACCUUCCGUACACUCAGGGAUAGCCUUUCGAAAGAAAGAUUAAUACCUGAUGGUAUGAUGAGAUUGCAUGAUAGCAUCAUUAAAGAUUUAUCGGUGUACGAUGGGGAUGCGUUCCAUUAGGUAGUAGGCGGGGUAACGGCCCACCUAGCCUACGAUGGAUAGGGGUUCUGAGAGGAAGGUCCCCCACAUUGGAACUGAGACACGGUCCAAACUCCUACGGGAGGCAGCAGUGAGGAAUAUUGGUCAAUGGACGAGAGUCUGAACCAGCCAAGUAGCGUGAAGGAUGACUGCCCUAUGGGUUGUAAACUUCUUUUAUACGGGGAAUUAAAAGUGAGGCAUGUGUGCCUUUUUGAUGUACCGUAUGAAUAAGGAUCGGCUAACUCCGUGCCAG
rnacentral:rRNA from 1 species